GCUGUGAGUAUUCAAUCUGUUUCCUCCCUUCCGUGUUGCUUCAUUGUGAUGUGUCGUCAAGUCUACUGCUGUGAUUCCUGUUCCCUAUGUUCAUGUUUCCAGUGGUUUCGUUUGAAACUCCAGUCUCUAUAAUGUCUCCUCGGACACCUGGACUAUGUGACACGUUCCUGUUAAGUCUAUCAGGAUGUUGGCUGUGCUGCUUGGAGCUGCAGGCGAAAUUCAUUCAUGCUUCCAAGUACAGACAGUCAAAAACUGUUGGAUACCAAAUCACAACUCGCCCUCAGAGAUAAUAAAUGUGGAAACUGGCUUUGUUGAUCCACAUAAUGCAAUUCUGCACAGUUCAGUAACCAGUGAUGGUCACGCACCACCAGAAAUGCCUCAGAGAUUGUAUCAGAGCCAAAACUUUGAUCUUUUCUGAAUGAGUCUGAGAAGAGUCGGACAGAGAAGCUGAAUGACAGAUAAGAGGACAAACGUUGUCUUUACUUAAUGGCUGUUUGAGAUAUGAAGAGCAGAUUAAUCCAUGCAGAGGUUUAGUCCAUCUCACAGUUUACUCCUCUUUCAUAUGUGUUGUGCUUAAUCUGAUCACUGUAUCAGGAUAUAAACUGUGCAUGAACUCAUCACUUCAAAUCUAAGCUGAAACUCGGCUGCUCUUAUGACUCAUUGUUCUCUCUGCUACAUUUAAAUUCCUUAUUUCACCAGGGGCAACUCGCAACUCAUCACUGAACUGCAAUUGUUUUAGUUACUACAAUUUACCCAUUUCGUUUCUUUAAUCUUAUUUCCAACUUUUAAGUCAAUUCCAUCUUAGUUUAAUUUAGUUUUUUAAAUCAAUCAUUGUCAAACUGUGGUUUAAAUCUCAUCAUGUUCACAUAGCAUGAGCUGUUUUGCUGCACUUUUGUCUAUAAAGCAAUUUAAAUUGCC